rnacentral:rRNA from 1 species
GACGAACGCUGGCGGCGUGCCUAAUACAUGCAAGUUGAGCGCUGAAGGUUGGUACUUGUACCAACUGGAUGAGCAGCGAACGGGUGAGUAACGCGUGGGGAAUCUGCCUUUGAGCGGGGGACAACAUUUGGAAACGAAUGCUAAUACCGCAUAAAAACUUUAAACACAAGUUUUAAGUUUGAAAGAUGCAAUUGCAUCACUCAAAGAUGAUCCCGCGUUGUAUUAGCUAGUUGGUGAGGUAAAGGCUCACCAAGGCGAUGAUACAUAGCCGACCUGAGAGGGUGAUCGGCCACAUUGGGACUGAGACACGGCCCAAACUCCUACGGGAGGCAGCAGUAGGGAAUCGUCGGCAAUGGACGAAAGUCUGACCGAGCAACGCCGCGUGAGUGAAGAAGGUUUUCGGAUCGUAAAACUCGGUUGGUAGAGAAGAACGGUGGUGAGAGUGGAAAGCUCAUCAAGUGACGGUAACUACCCAGAAAGGGACGGCUAACUACGUG